rnacentral:lncRNA from 1 species
CGACGCUUCGUCCGAUUCUUCGGCGCAUCGUCCUCUCCUGCAGCCUAUUGCCCAAUCGGCCAGUUGACUCCGCAACUCCGAUAUCCUUGGCACAAUACCCGCUCUUCUUGGCCCGAUGCCUGAGUCCACGGCCCGAAGCCUUCUGUCGAUACGUCGACCGAUCCACCGGCCCGACGUCCAAUCUUCUGACAUGUUCCUCCGGCAUAACAUGAUUU